UACGAAGGGGGCUAGCGUUGCUCGGAAUUACUGGGCGUAAAGGGCGCGUAGGCGGACAGUUUAGUCCGAGGUAAAAGCCCAGGGCUCAACCUUGGAACUGCCUUUGAUACUGGCUGUCUUGAGUUCGGGAGAGGUGAGUGGAAUGCCGAGUGUAGAGGUGAAAUUCGUAGAUAUUCGGCGGAACACCAGUGGCGAAGGCGACUCACUGGCCCGAUACUGACGCUGAGGCGCGAAAGCGUGGGGAGCAAACAGG
rnacentral:rRNA from 1 species